rnacentral:miRNA from 1 species
UGCUCUGCUUGGCAAACUGCUC